rnacentral:rRNA from 1 species
AUGUACAGGUACGAUCUUGCUUUGGCAACGAAUGCACUAGGAGCCAAAUAUGGAUCCGAAUUUGCACAGAAGUGUCCCAAUCUGAAAUUGUUGCUUCAUGUUUCUACUGUUAGCUUUUGUAACUAGUACUCAAGUUUACUGGAGAAAGCACUCAAGAUGGGUGAAUCACUACAGCCUGGUUACCACUUGGACAUUGAAGCUGAGUUGCAGUUGGUUGAGAAGGUCAAGACUGAACUCACAGCGUCUAAGAGUGGUAGUUCAGACCAAUCAUCGGAGAAGACAGCCAUGAAAGAACUUGGCUUAAAGAGGGCUUGCCAUUUUGGAUGGCCAAACGUAUAUACAUUUACCAAGGCUAUGGGUGAGAUGUUCCUUGAGCAGCAUAGGGGAGACCUUCCUGUCGUCAUUAUUCGACCUACCAUGGUAACCAGCACUUUCCAAGAUCCAUUUCCAGGCUGGAUAGAAGGGGCGAGGACAAUUGAUGCUAUGAUUGUCGACUACACUGAGCAAGCAUUCCCAUGUUUCGUAGGUGAUCGCCAAGACACAAUGGAUGCUGUUCCUGCGGACAUGGUGGUAAAUGCAACGCUGGUAGCCAUGGCUGUUCACUUGAAUGAGAAAGGACAAGUCAUUUACAACGUCUGCUCAGCACUCCAAAACCCAUUGACGGGUUAUGUCUUAGAAGACGCAUGUUGGGAUUACUUCUCCAUAUAUCCUCGUGUACAGAAUGGGAAACCCCUCAAAAAUAAAAGGCCGUACGUGUUUAAGACAUUCACUUUAUUCCACACAUAUCUGAUACUGGUGUAUAAGCUGCCACUUGAAAUGUUACAUGCCGUGAGCCUGUUAUUCUGUGGGUUGUUUUCACAAUAUUACAAUAAGCAAAACCGAAGAUACAAUUUCUUAAUGCUCUUGGUCAAGCUGUAUGCACCAUAUGCCUUCUUCAAAGGAUGCUUUGACGACACGAACAUGAGAAGGUUCAGGAUGAAAGUAAAAAUGGAUGGCAAUGCUAGUAACAUAUUUAACUUUGAUCUCCAAUCUAUGGACUGGCCCUCGUAUCUCCUGAAUGUACACGUCCCAGCAGCUGUGCUAAAGUAUGGCCGCAAAAAUAAGGGAAGCGUAUAA